rnacentral:lncRNA from 1 species
AAAGGAUCUGAAAAAUCAGGGACACUAGUUCAAUCGAUUCUCAGAGCUUAGUGUUCACAAAUUUGAUCCAAAAAUUAAGUCUGAUUCUUAAUUCUUAUCAUGGACUUAAGGUUUAUUUGUUGGGUUGCUGUUGGCUGAGGUUCGAGUUGGUUUAAUUAUUUAUAAUUGGUAUUGGUUGUGUGACUUGCAUUUCGUGGGCUUUGAAAGUGUUGACUUUAUUGUUCCAUUGAUUUGGGGUUCUAUUCACUGAUUUUCUCGUUAACUCUGGGGUUUAUUUGCCACUGCUGUUGCUGCUUUGCUCUGUGACUGCUUGCUCAUAGGUUUCUUCUUCCUUCCAGG